GGUCCUUUGGCGCAAUGGCUAGCGCAUUGCUUUCCGGAUUAGGAAACUGGCAAAGGUUCUAGGUUCGAGUCCUAGGAGGAUCG